GUGUCAGCCGCCGCGGUAAAACCAGCACCUCAAGUGGUCAGGAGGUUUAUUGGGCCUAAAGCAUCCGUAGCCUGAUCUAUAAGUUUCCGGUUAAAUCCACAUGCUCAACAUUUGGGCUGCCGGAAAAACUGUAGAUCUAGGGAGUGGGAGAGGUAGACGGUACUCGGUAGGAAGGGGUAAAAUCCUUUGAUCUAUUGAUGACCACCAGUGGCGAAGGCGGUCUACCAGAACACGUUCGACGGUGAGGGAUGAAAGCUGGGGGAGCAAACCGGAUUAGAUACCCGGGUAGUCCCAGCUGUAAACGAUGCAGACCCGGUGAUGCAUUGGCUUGUGGCCAGUGCAGUGCCGCAGGGAAGCCGUUAAGUUUGCCGCCUGGGAAGUACGUACGCAAGUAUGAAACUUAAAGGAAUUGGCGGGGGAGCACCACAAGGGGUGAAGCCUGCGGUUCAAUUGGAGUCAACGCCAGAAAUCUUACCCGGAGAGACAGCAGAAUGAAGGUCAAGCUGAAGACUUUACCAGACAAGCUGAGAGGUGGUGCAUGGCCGUCGCCAGCUCGUGCCGUGAGAUGUCCUGUUAAGUCAGGUAACGAGCGAGACCCUUGCCUCUAGUUGCUACCAUUGCUCUCUGGAGCAGUGGGGCGAAUUAGCGGGACCGCCGCAGUUAAUGCGGAGGAAGGAAAGGGCUACGGCAGGUCAGUAUGCCCCGAAACUCUGGGGCCACACGCGGGCUGCAAUGGUAGCGACAAUGUGUUCCAAACCCUAAAGGGGGAGGUAAUCAUCAAACGCUACCACAGUUAUGACUGAGGGCUGCAACUCGCCCUCACGAAUAUGGAAUCCCUAGUAACUGCGUGUCAUUACCGCGCGGUGAAUACGUCCCUGCUCCUUGUACACACCGCCCGUC
rnacentral:rRNA from 1 species